GACGAACGCUGGCGGCGUGCUUAACACAUGCAAGUCGUACGGUAAGGCCCUUUCGGGGGUACACGAGUGGCGAACGGGUGAGUAACACGUGAGUAACCUGCCCACAACUUUGGGAUAACGCUAGGAAACUGGUGCUAAUACUGGAUAUGUGCUCCUGCUGCAUGGUGGGGGUUGGAAAGCUCCGGCGGUUGUGGAUGGACUCGCGGCCUAUCAGCUUGUUGGUGGGGUAGUGGCCUACCAAGGCGGCGACGGGUAGCCGGCCUGAGAGGGUGACCGGCCACAUUGGGACUGAGAUACGGCCCAGACUCCUACGGGAGGCAGCAGUGGGGAAUAUUGCACAAUGGGCGCAAGCCUGAUGCAGCAACGCCGCGUGCGGGAUGACGGCCUUCGGGUUGUAAACCGCUUUCGGCAGGGACGAAGCUUUUUGUGACGGUACCUGCAGAAGAAGCACCGGCUAACUACGUG
rnacentral:rRNA from 1 species